rnacentral:lncRNA from 1 species
GUGUGUGUCUGCUGACCGGCAACCUUUCUUCUCCCUGGCGCCUAGCGGCCUCCUCCCUAGUAACCGGCGGCCUCCCCAAGUCCCACCGCCUCCCCCGUGCACGACCAUGGCAGAUCUGGCCACGGUAGUGACGGAUGCGCCGCCAGGUAGGCCCCUCAUUCUCAUCGUCCUCCUCCUCCUCUUGCUGUAAUUGGAUCUGGUUUUUAGGGUUCUACGAGCUCACUCUCCAAUUUUCUCCAACUCUGAUAGGGUAUAUAAUGGUUAGCCAUGGGGAGAUAGGUAGGCUACGCGGUGGAAAUGGUGGGUGGGCGGCUUAGGGGAGUUGAUGUCGACAGGGGCGAUCAAGUCAGGUCGGGGUAGGGGAGGCUUGCUAGAGCUGGAGAAGAUGGCGGCGAUAGGGGAAGGGAGAGACGUCGGUCGCGGCAGGGGCUAGAGUUCAUCGGAGAUCUGGCGAGCUAGGGCCCGGUGAAACCUAGCACCCGCGGUGGGGCGGUGGUAGGGACGAGGCAGCUGAAGUCGGGG